GUUAACCUUUACUAGAAAAUAGCAGCAUCAGUAACCAGCAAAUUUACCCAGUUCUGUAAAGAAAUCUGAGCACACUCAUAAAUAUAUAUGCACAUAUAUAUUUUUGCUCCUGUAGAUAGCCAGCUCCUGUGUGAAAGCCUCAAACAUCUGGACUACUGUAAAUUCAAAAUCCCUCCUUUGAAAAAAAAAAAUGGCCUCCAGAACAUGGAGUCGAAGACCAUCUAUCACUGUGACUGCACCAGCCGCUGUUCUAGAGGCUUCACUAAAGCCUCUGACCUACAUCAAGUGCUUAAGAAGAUAGAGGAAAAAGACUCUGCUGGGGUGCGAAUUUCAGGCAGUGACAGAAAAAGAGGGAUUCCUGUUCGCCUUUAUAAGCGAUGCCUGAGGCUAGAAAGCGGAGCUGAUAUUAUGGCACGGUUCAGAUGACUGUAGAAUAAGCUGCUAUGUGCAGUAACAAUAAAUGUUAUAAGCUUUAGAUUUCACGCAGGCUUUGCUCUUUUUCCCUGAUGGUGGAAAAUUGCAGCAUUUUAAGAAGUCAGGCCCUCGACUGGCAAAGUAUGGCCUUAUAAAUGUAAUUAUAUCC
ensembl:lncRNA